GGUGAAAGUGCAGAAGUUGCGGUGAGCAUAUAUCUGGCUGUUUCGACUCCUGUCAACCAGCACCACAUGCAGCCGCGGCUGGUACCGGUGCAUGGAAUUCAAUAUCAUCUAGAUACAAGCAGAGGUCGUGUUAACCGGAAAUUCUCCGUCAUCUGUCAUGCAACCCGGUCUCAUCAAUCUGCGUAUAAAUAACACGAGUUGACGCUUUCCGAUUGCGUGUAAUCAGACCCUCUCGUCUCAGCCUCUUACAGACUUUUUUCCUUCAGAGAGCGAUAGCGACUAGCGUCAUUUUGGAUAAACCUUAACUUUCGGAAUAAAGUCCAUAAGGAGAACAUAUUCUGCUGCUGGGUCCAUGCCUGAGAUGUGUACUUGAAAUGUGGGAAACAUUCUUCUGUGGAAAAACAAGAAAUCAAAAGUACUGUAGAAAUGAAUGUGCUUAACAUUAACUACAAAAUAUGCUGUUUUCUUAGCUUUUGGAAUUUGUAAAAAUAACAUAAUGAAUUUGAAGAAGAUGUGAUGUCAACAUUACAACCAUGACUAAUAAAAAACCAAUGACACUGAAGAAAUAAAAUGCCUUUUGGAUGGCUGCAGCGAUAGCCUCAAGGUGGGGCUUCACAUCAUCGCCCAGGGCGUUCAUCUUUUUCCUCAAUUCACCGGACCUGACGCUCUCACGAAACUCCAAG